AUACCUCCGGCAAACCCCUUCGGCGUUCCAACCAUGCAACCCUUCCUAAUCAAAAAUGAAGAAUCUGUCUUCAGAAUCUUAUUGGGAAGACAAAGUGUGUGAAUCACAUUAAGCAGAGUGGGAGAAAAGGUGAAGAAAUUUAAGAGAGGAUUUUGAAGGAUGAAUGAUAGCUCAGCUAGAGAAAUGAAUGAGAGACAACCUCAAAGGCCUUGUGGUUGUGUGGG